UUCUGUUGGAGUGGGUGUUGCCCUGUUGGAGUGGGCGUUAUUCUGUUGGAGUGGGUGUGGCCUUGUUGGAAUAGGUGUGGCCCUGUUGGGAUAGGUGUGUCAUUGAGGGUGUGGGUUUUCAGACCCUCCUCCUAGCUGCCUGGAAGUCAGUGUUCUAGCAGCCUUCUGAUGAAGAGGUAGAACUCUCAGCUUCUCCUGCACCAUGCCUGCCUGGAUGCUGCCAUGCUCCCCGCCUUGAUAAUGGACUGAACCUCUGAACCUGUGUGUGCGAGGCCUCAGGGCAUUUGUGUCUACCUGAAGGUCCUGUUCAGAAGCCACUCCAGGCCUCCCUUGGCCAGGCUGUCUCAGCACUGUCUCCUGCUGCCUAGGCCUCCCCAGCAUCCAGCAGCUGUGGAUUGCUCACGUUUGGCUCACUGCUUGCUCCUCCCGCUAGAGAGCAGCCCGUGACCUCGGAGGUCUGAUUUGUUCAUUCCGGCAUGUUCCAGUCAAGAGUGAAUUAUGAAGGGUCAAAGGGUGAAGCGUAGUCGCAAUCUUUCCAAAGCCUUCUUAGCCACCCUGGCUCCCUGGCUGCCUCUACACUUGGCCUCCAUCUUUGCUGAGGGGACACAGCCAUGCCCAGAAUUCCGGUUGGUUUUGAAGGAAGAAGAGUGAUUUGUUCCCAGGAUGGCCUAUCUGCUAUUCCUAGUGGCCUUGUCUGACACACUUUCAGCUUCUUCUUGAAAAAUAUUUAUUAUUAUUAUUAAAUGUAUGUUAAAAACUUA